GAUGAACGCUGGCGGCGUGCUUAACACAUGCAGGUCGAACGGUGAACACGGAGCUUGCUCUGUGGGAUCAGUGGCGAACGGGUGAGUAACACGUGAGCAACCUGCCCCUGACUCUGGGAUAAGCGCUGGAAACGGCGUCUAAUACUGGAUACGAGUAGCGGCCGCAUGGUCAGUUACUGGAAAGAUUUUUUGGUUGGGGAUGGGCUCGCGGCCUGUCAGGUUGUUGGUGAGGUAAUGGCUGACCAAGGCGUCGACGGGUAGCCGGCCUGGGAGGCUGACCGGCCACACUGGGCCUGAGACACGGCCCAGACUCCUACGGGAGGCAGCAGUGGGGAAUAUUUCACAAUGGGCGAAAGCCUGAUGAAGCAACGCCGCGUGAGGGAUGACGGCCUUCGGGUUGUAAACCUCUUUUAGCAGGGAAGAAGCGAAAGUGACGGUACCUGCAGAAAAAGCGCCGGCUAACUACGUGCCAGCAGCCGCCGCCG
rnacentral:rRNA from 1 species